GGUUAAGUGACUAAGCGUACAUGGUGGAUGCCUUGGCAGUCAGAGGCGAUGAAGGACGUACUAACCUGCGAUAAGCUGUGAGAAGUCGGUAAGAGACGCUAUUACUCACAGAUUUCCGAAUGGGGAAACCCACCCAAGAUAACUUGGGUAUCGUUACAUGAAUACAUAGUGUAACGAGGCGAACCGGGAGAACUGAAACAUCUAAGUACCCCGAGGAAAAGAAAUCAACCGAGAUUCCCUCAGUAGCGGCGAGCGAACGGGGAUUAGCCCUUAAGUUUCUUGGAAGUUAGUGGAAUGGUCCUGGAAAGGCCAGCGAUACAGGGUGAUAGCCCCGUACAUGAAAACGACCUUGAAGUGAAAUCGAGUAGGGCGGGACACGUGACAUCCUGUCUGAAUAUGGGGGGACCAUCCUCCAAGGCUAAAUACUCCUGACUGACCGAUAGUGAACCAGUACCGUGAGGGAAAGGCGAAAAGAACCCCUGUGAGGGGAGUGAAAUAGAACCUGAAACCGUGUACGUACAAGCAGUGGGAGCCCUUCGGGGUGACUGCGUACCUUUUGUAUAAUGGGUCAGCGACUUACAUUUUGUAGCGAGGUUAACCGUAUAGGGGAGCCGUAGGGAAACCGAGUCUUAACUGGGCGUCUAGUUGCAAGGUGUAGACCCGAAACCGGGUGAUCUAGCCAUGGGCAGGUUGAAGGUUGAGUAACAUCAACUGGAGGACCGAACCCACUAACGUUGCAAAGUUAGGGGAUGACCUGUGGCUGGGGGUGAAAGGCCAAUCAAACUCGGAGAUAGCUGGUUCUCCCCGAAAGCUAUUUAGGUAGCGCCUCGGACGAAUACUACUGGGGGUAGAGCACUGUUUGGACUAGGGGGUCAUCCCGACUUACCAACUCCAUGCAAACUCCGAAUACCAGUAAGUAAUAUCCGGGAGACACACGGCGGGUGCUAACGUCCGUCGUGAAGAGGGAAACAACCCAGACCGCCGGCUAAGGUCCCAAAGUUCUGGUUAAGUGGGAAACGAUGUGGGAAGGCUCAGACAGCUAGGAUGUUGGCUUAGAAGCAGCCAUCAUUUAAAGAAAGCGUAAUAGCUCACUAGUCGAGUCGGCCUGCGCGGAAGAUGUAACGGGGCUCAAACCAGGCACCGAAGCCGCGGAU
rnacentral:rRNA from 1 species